GACGAACGCUGGCGGCGUGCUUAACACAUGCAAGUCGAACGGAAAGGCCCUGCUUUUGUGGGGUGCUCGAGUGGCGAACGGGUGAGUAACACGUGAGUAACCUGCCCUUGACUUUGGGGUAACUUCAGGAAACUGGGGCUAAUACCGGAUAGGAGCUCCUGCUGCAUGGUGGGGGUUGGAAAGUUUCGGCGGUUGGGGAUGGACUCGCGGCUUAUCAGCUUGUUGGUGGGGUAGUGGCUUACCAAGGCUUUGACGGGUAGCCGGCCUGAGAGGGUGACCGGGCACAUUGGGACUGAGAUACGGCCCAGACUCCUACGGGAGGCAGCAGUGUGGAAUAUUGCACAAUGGGCGGAAGCCUGAUGCAGCAACGCCGCGUGCGGGAGGACGGCCUUCGGGGUGUAAACCGCUUUCGCCUGUGACGAAGCGUGAGUGACGGUAAUGGGUAAAGAAGCACCGGCUAACUACGUG
rnacentral:rRNA from 1 species